rnacentral:tRNA from 2 species
GCGGUCGUGGCGAAACGGUAGACGCGCAGCGUUGAGGUCGCUGUUCUGAUAAGGAGUGGAAGUUCAAAUCUUCUCGACCGCACCA